UACGGAGGGGGCUAGCGUUGUUCGGAAUUACUGGGCGUAAAGCGCACGUAGGCGGCUUUGCAAGUCAGAGGUGAAAGCCCGGGGCUCAACUCCGGAAUUGCCUUUGAGACUGCAUCGCUAGAAUUGUGGAGAGGUAAGUGGAAUUCCGAGUGUAGAGGUGAAAUUCGUAGAUAUUCGGAAGCACACCAGUGGCGAAGGCGGCUCACUGGACAGGUAUUGACGCUGAGGUGCGAAAGCGUGGGGAGCAAACAGG
rnacentral:rRNA from 1 species